rnacentral:rRNA from 1 species
AUUGAACGCUGGCGGCAGGCCUAACACAUGCAAGUCGAACGAGUGGCGGACGGGUGAGUAAUGUCUGGGAAACUGCCCGAUGGAGGGGCAUAACUAAUGGAAACGGUAGCUAAUACCGCAUACCAUCGGAUGUGCCCAGAUGGGAUUAGCUUGUAGGUGAGGUAACGGCUCACCUAGGGGACGAUCCCUAGCUGGUCUGAGAGGAGGAACAGCUAAACUGGAACUGAGACACGGGCCAGAUGCCUAUGGGAGGCAGCAGUGGGGAAGAUGGCACAAUGGGCGCAAGCCUGAUCCAGCCAUGCCGGGUGUAUGAAGAAGGCCUUCGGUUUGUAAAGUACUUUAAGCGGGGAGGCGUUACCCGCAGAAGAAGCACCGGCUAACUCCGUGCCAGCCGCCGCGGUAAUUC